rnacentral:ncRNA from 2 species
GCCGAUGGUGCGCGGGACGGUUCCCGGGGGCAGCCCCGGGCGAAGAGGGAAUGCGGUGCGGGCCUGUUCGGCCCCAAGCCGCGACUGCCCCCGCAACUGUAGGCGGCGAGCGCGUCCCAUCAUGCCCACUGGCCCCGGACAGGCCGGGAAGGGCGGGACAAGCCGAGACCCGCGAGUCAGGAGACCUGCCGUCAUCGGACCUGUAAC